CCUACGGGUGGCAGCAGUGGGGAAUAUUGCACAAUGGGCGAAAGCCUGACGCAGCGACGCCGCGUGAGGGAUGAAGGUCCUCGGAUCGUAAACCUCUGUCAGCAGGGAAGAACGGUCAGUGUGCUAAUCAGCAGUGAAUUGACGGUACCUGCAAAGGAAGCACCGGCUAACUCCGUGCCAGCAGCCAAGGUAAUACGGAGGGUGCGAGCGUGAACCGUGAUUACUGGGCGUAAAGCGCGCGUAGGCGGUAUGUCAAGUCAAGGGUGAAAUCCCCGCGCUCAACGGGGGAACUGCCUUUGAAACUGGCAAACUGGAGUGUGUGAGAGGCUAGUGGAAUUCCUGGUGUAGGAGUGAAAUGCGUAGAUAUUUGGAGGAACAUCAGUGGCGAAGGCGACUAUCUGGACCAUAACUGACGCUGAGGAGCGAAAGCGUGGGUAGCAAACAGGAUUAGAUACCCCAGUAGUC
rnacentral:rRNA from 1 species